AUCCUUUUGUGGUUCAUAAUUGUGAUGAUUGGUUUCUACUCUAGUACAUGAAAUACACCCCCCUUAAACCUUGUCAUGAUACCAGCACAGUGCCCAUCCAACA